AUUGAACGCUGGCGGCAGGCCUAACACAUGCAAGUCGAACGGUAACAGGAAACAGCUUGCUGUUUCGCUGACGAGUGGCGGACGGGUGAGUAAUGUCUGGGAAACUGCCUGAUGGAGGGGGAUAACUACUGGAAACGGUAGCUAAUACCGCAUAACGUCGCAAGACCAAAGAGGGGGACCUUCGGGCCUCUUGCCAUCGGAUGUGCCCAGAUGGGAUUAGCUAGUAGGUGGGGUAACGGCUCACCUAGGCGACGAUCCCUAGCUGGUCUGAGAGGAUGACCAGCCACACUGGACCUGAGACACGGUCCAGACUCCUACGGGAGGCAGCAGUGGGGAAUAUUGCACAAUGGGCGCAAGCCUGAUGCAGCCAUGCCGCGUGUAUGAAGAAGGCCUUCGGGUUGUAAAGUACUUUCAGCGGGGAGGAAGGGAGUAAAGUUAAUACCUUUACUCAUGGACGUUACCCGCAGAAGAAGCACCGGCGAACUCCGU
rnacentral:rRNA from 1 species